CUCUCUGGGUCUCUCUAUGGGUCUCUAUGGGUCUCUCUAUGGGUCUCUAUGGGUCUCUAUGGGUCUCUCUAUGGGUCUCUAUGGGUCUCUAUGGGUCUCUAUGGGUCUCUCUAUGGGUCUCUAUGGGUCUCUAUGGGGUCUCUCUAUGGGUCUCUAUGGGUCUCUCUAUGGGUCUCUCUAUGGGUCUCUCUAUGGGUCUCUCUAUGGGUCUCUAUGGGUCUCUCUAUGGGUCUCUGUGGGUCUCUAUGGAUCUCUCUAUGGGUCUCUGUGGGUCUCUAUGGGGUCUCUAUGGGGUCUCUAUGGGGUCUCUCUGGGUCUCUCUAUGGGUCUCUAUGUGGGUCUCUAUGGGUCUCUAUGGUCUCUAUGGGUCUCUAUGGGUCACUCUAUGGGUCUCUCUAUGGGUCUCUAUGGGUCUCUAUGGGUCUCUCUGUGGGGCUCUCUGUGGGUCUCUCUGGGUCUCUCUGGGUCUCUAUGGGGUCUCUAUGGGUCUCUAUGCGUCUCUAUGCGUCUCUGUGGGUCUCUCUAUGGGUCUCUCUGGGCCCUUAUGUGUCCCUACUAUGGGUCUGGGACCCCCAAGUGUGGGGCUGGGCACCUAAGCGAGGGACUAGCUCCCCAAGUGUGGGUCAGGGACCCACAAGUGUGGGUCUCAGACCCCUGUCUCUGUGUCCGAGGCCACCACUGUAGCUCCA
rnacentral:lncRNA from 1 species